rnacentral:rRNA from 1 species
GGAACAAAGGGAGGCGAAGGGGUGACCUGGACGACGAAACCCAAAAUACAGUCUCAGUUCGGAUUGAAGUCUGCAACUCGACUUCAUGAAGUCGGAAUCGCUAGUAAUCGCGGAUCAGAACGCCGCGGUGAAUACGUUCGUCGGGUUU